rnacentral:rRNA from 1 species
GAUGAACGCUGGCGGCGUGCCUAAUACAUGCAAGUCGAGCGAACGGACGAGAAGCUUGCUUCUCUGAUGUUAGCGGCGGACGGGUGAGUAACACGUGGAUAACCUACCUAUAAGACUGGGAUAAUUUCGGGAAACCGGAGCUAAUACCGGAUGAUAUUUUGAACCGCAUGGUUCAAAAGUGAAAGACGGUCUUGCUGUCACUUAUAGAUGGAUCCGCGCUGCAUUAGCUAGUUGGUAAGGUAACGGCUUACCAAGGCAACGAUGCAUAGCCGACCUGAGAGGGUGAUCGGCCACACUGGAACUGAGACACGGUCCAGACUCCUACGGGAGGCAGCAGUAGGGAAUCUUCCGCAAUGGGCGAAAGCCUGACGGAGCAACGCCGCGUGAGUGAUGAAGGUCUUCGGAUCGUAAAACUCUGUUAUUAGGGAAGAACAUAUGUGUAAGUAACUGUGCACAUCUUGACGGUACCUAAUCAGAAAGCCCCGGCUAACUACGUG